UACGUAGGACGCAAGCGUUAUCCGGAAUUAUUGGGCGUAAAGAGCUCGUAGGCGGUUUGUCGCGUCUGCCGUGAAAGUCCGGGGCUCAACUCCGGAUCUGCGGUGGGUACGGGCAGACUAGAGUGAUGUAGGGGAGACUGGAAUUCCUGGUGUAGCGGUGAAAUGCGCAGAUAUCAGGAAGAACACCAAUGGCGAAGGCAGCUCUCUGGGACGGUACUGACGCUGAGACGCGAAAGCGUGGGGAGCGAACAGG
rnacentral:rRNA from 1 species